AACGAACGCUGGCGGCAGGCUCAACACAUGCAAGUCGAGCGCCCCGCAAGGGGAGUGGCAGACGGGUGAGUAACGCGUGGGAACCUACCUCUUGGUACGGAAUAACUCGGGGAAACUCGUGCUAAUACCGUAUAUUCCGGUAACGGGAAAGAUUUAUCGCCAAGAGACGGGCCCGCGUUAGAUUAGCUAGUUGGUGGGGUAAUGGCCUACCAAGGCGACGAUCUAUAGCUGGUCUGAGAGGAUGAUCAGCCACACUGGGACUGAGACACGGCCCAGACUCCUACGGGAGGCAGCAGUGGGGAAUCUUGGACAAUGGGGGAAACCCUGAUCCAGCCAUGCCGCGUGAGUGAUGACGGCCCUAGGGUUGUAAAGCUCUUUCGACGGGGACGAUAAUGACGGUACCCGUAGAAGAAGCCCCGGCUAACUCCGUGCCAGCCGCCGCAGUAA
rnacentral:rRNA from 1 species